GGCGGUGGGUGAGCCUUUCCCCGUCAGCGGAUCCGGCUGGCCCUGCCGGCGGGCGGUGGGGCCGCGCCCCGCCCCGCGCCCGCAGCAGCCCGGAGCGGCACCGGGCCGAGCCGGACCGAGCGGCGCCGGGCUGAGCCGAUCCCCGCCGCGCCGGGCAGCGCCAUGGGGCUGCUGGAGCGGCUGCGGAAGGAGUGGUUCAUCCUCGGCAUCGCGCUGGUCAUCGCUGUGGCGCGGCUGGAGCCCGGCGUCGGCGUCAAAGGCGGACCCUUGAAACCUGAAAUUACCAUAACUUACAUUGCUGUUUCAGCUAUAUUCUUUAACAGUGGACUCUCCUUAAAAACUGAGGAGCUGACAAGUGCUUUGAUGCAUGUGAAACUACACCUUUUUGUCCAGAUUUUUACACUUGUGUUCUUCCCAACAGCAAUAUGGGUCUUUCUUCAGCUGUUAUCAAUCACACCUAUAAAUGAAUGGCUUUUAAAAGGCUUGCAGACAGUGGGCUGCAUGCCGCCUCCUGUGUCUUCUGCUGUAAUUUUAACCAAAGCUGUUGGUGGGAAUGAGGCAGCUGCUAUAUUUAAUUCUGCUUUUGGAAGUUUUUUGGGCAUUGUUAUAACUCCACUUCUGCUUUUGCUUUUUCUUGGAUCAUCCUCCUCUGUGCCUUUUACAUCCAUAUUCUCGCAGCUGUUUAUGACUGUUGUAGUCCCUCUUAUUAUUGGACAGAUUGUCCGAAGAUACAUCAAGGACUGGCUUGAAAGGAAGAAGCCUCCAUUUGGUGCUAUCAGCAGCUCUGUGCUCCUGAUGAUUAUCUAUACAACGUUCUGCGAUACUUUUGCCAAUCCAAAUAUUGACCUGGAUAAAUUCAGCUUGAUUAUAAUCGUGUUCAUAAUAUUUUCUAUUCAGAUGAGCUUCAUGUUUUUGACUUUCCUCUUCUCCACAAGGAAUAACUCUACUUUCACACCAGCAGACACAGUGGCUAUCGUUUUCUGUUCCACACACAAAUCCCUCACCCUGGGGAUUCCCAUGCUGAAGAUAGUAUUUGCAGGUUAUGAACAUCUGUCCUUAAUUUCUGUCCCUUUGCUCAUCUAUCAUCCUGCUCAGAUCCUUCUUGGCAGUCUGUUGGUACCAACGAUAAAAUCCUGGAUGGUUUCUAGGCAAAAGAGAACACCCUGAGGGCUGGUAAGGAAUCUUCUGGAGUUGCAUGGACAAGCUGUGAAGGACUAGAGAAAGGAUGCUGAAAAAUGCAGGUUGGAGGCAUUGCUCCAGGCAAGUCUGCUUUGUGCCGGCAUCUAAAGCUGCAGCAGAGGUCAUGAAAGCAGCCUUGGGAUUGUUCCUCUUGCCAGAAAGGUGGAGAGAUCUUCAGUGAGAAGUGAAAUUAAAUUUAUUAGUGAUUAAAAGGACAAGAGAGAUGUGUUGGAAACAAUGAAUGCCAAUGAGGCCUCUCUGCUGCUCCCCUAAACAAAUUGCAGUCUCGGUGGAGCAUCAGUCCCCCAAAUUGCAGUAAUCGAGUCUGGAGCUGAUGGGAGCAUGAGUCACCACUUAAUUUUCUCAUCAGUGGAGGCCAAGGUUUCAAAAUAUUUUUAGAUGCAUUUCCACAGAGAUUUCUGCCAGCCAGUGACCUAUAGAGUGACAAGAAAAUGAGCAAUAGCUGCUGCUGAAUCAGGUUUUGCUCCCUGCCACCUACCCUUCUGAUCAUAGUCAGUGGCAGGGAGGGCAGGUAAAUCAAAGGAUUUUGGAAUUAUUAUGCAGAAAAGAGCCCUGCUGAGCUGAUAAGAACACCUGGAUUUGUUAAGUAACAAAAUAACCAGUGAAUUCUUAGGCUGCCUGGUAGGUUCAGAUGAACUUUGACUGUGUUGCUAGCCCCAGCCAGAAGCAGGUGUGAGAUCAGGAGCUGAUUGUGAUCCACGCUCCAAGGGACAGCCCAUACCCAGCAGCUGCAGCCCACGGAAGAGGCUGUGCAUCUCCGAAGGAUCCCACACUUGUACAUCUCAUCUGUUCUUUGCCUGUGUUCAAAGCUGCCACCUGGCCCAACCAUUUGUCACCCAGCACAGUCCAUACCCAAGAUGUCACAAAAUUGCUUUAUUUCCCAGUAUCUUCCCUGUGUAGUUUUGUCACUUCUUGUCAACACUACUUGAUGAAGGACUUGUAGCUCCCCUGGACGGGAGCGCCCACAUGAUGCAGACCUGAAGCUCACUGCUGGAUCCAUUAGAGACACUGUCAGUCCUUUGGGAAAUGCCGAACUGCUGCUGACGUAUUUUGCCAAGUUCUCCAGCAAAUUCUUGCUUUUUCUGUUUAAUAAUAUUGAUUCAAAUUAGAGAAAUGUUGGGACAACCUCUUUUUUUCUGUCUAAAAAUUACCCAAAAAAAGCCUUUUUGGAUCUAUUUUAGGUCUCUGUUUGCCUGAAAAAUUAACUGUAAUUUCCCAGAAGUGGCUCAGGACUACUAUAUUUGCCUCACACAUUCAUUCUGCCCCUUCCCCAAAACAUAUAGUCUUUUAAAUACCUCACAGCAAGUUGCAUAAAGCCCUUUUUUAGAAAAGAGCUACAACAUCUAUUUAUCUGGUCCAAUUCUCUAAUAAAUAAAAUAUAUCCCAGAGGCAUAAUAGUGUGCUAAAAAUAAGAGUAUGACACAAUUUGAGCCAGCUAAUCUGGUAGCUCUGUUUGCUGCAGCUCAUGGAGUGUUAAUGUGAGAAGCCUGUAUCUUUCCAGCCCGGCUGGCUGUGAGCAUCACAGCAUGGAUCUCUCCCAGAACCAGAGCCAAAUCCCACAGUACUGUGCCGUCCUGUGCUCACAAACGUCCUCCCUCUGGCCUCUCCAGGUGUAAAAACAUAGGGGAACUGUGAUAUGUGAGAUUUUGUGUGUCAGGGAGCAGAACGGAAGCGCCGCAGUCAGCGGAGCCCGCCUUGUGUCGUAUUUGUGAUCAGGUAACGCCUGUUUGGGACACAAAACCUCUCUGAUUAUAAAAGGCAUAUAGAGUUAUAUAUAACUGCACUAUCACAUAUCAAUGUCCCAAAUAAUCUCAUGUUAAUUAUCUAUCAGGGCAAUAUCAAAAAACCCAACAAAAUUCAAAUCUUGCUAGUAUCAGUUUUUCAGAUGAUUUUUGGUAGGGUUUUUUUGUUUUGUUUAAAGAAAGGUGCACAGUAUGUGAGGAAAAAUGCCUCCAUGUGUAUCAUUAUGUAUAUUAAAUCUUUAUCCUCUAUGUUCCAUAAUUUGAUCACAUAUUUUUAGGAAUAUAUUUUGCUUAUCUAGCAAACUCCCUCUGCUAACUCAUCUUGGUUGAAUUUUUAUAUUUCAUUGAAUAAGAACCUUGAAUUUUGGUAUAUGCAUAAAUAUGCUACAGUAUAUGGCAAGCAGCAGCUUGCUAUCUUUAAAAAUUAAAUUUAGUGAGAAAUUUCAGUAUUUUUUAUUACUAGUGAAAAUAAAAUUUAGUCUGUUAAGAUGGCACAGUGAUAUUCUUUGAAUAGAUGCUACUUUGAAUGUGUUUUUUUUCCCCAGAAGCCUCAGUUUAGGAGCUUAUUUUCUUAGUAACAAAAUAUUUGCUCUGAACAAUCCCAGGAGCAUAAUACAUUAGUAGAAAGAAAAGAGUAUUUAUAGCCAGUAAUUUAGCUGUUAUAAAUUAUGACUGUAAAGAAAGAAAAAAGGGUUCCUUUUUAAAACUUGCUGCCAGAUUCUGGUACAGCAAUGCUGAGUAAGUUAAGUAAUGUUCUUCUGAUGAACAGUCAAGUCUUGAGUAGUUUUCAUUUAAGCAUUUUAUUAAGCAUUUUUCUCAAACUCAUCUUUUUUGUUCUGUUUUGAGUAGACUUCCAUCUGAAUAAAACUCUCAGUGACGUUCUAGCCUACAUUAAAUUCCCACUGACAAAGAGAUGAGAAUUAUUAUUGAUUUUCUCCAGAAAGAACUAAUAGGCAUUGCCAAAUAAAUCAUGCAUAUUCUAAGUGUGCUAUUCAUCUCUUCUACUGAUCAUUGCUUAAAAGCCAUGAUAGUUGUCCUUUAAAAAUCAAAAGUCAAAUCCAUCCUUUGACUUGAAGUGAAAAUUUUGGACUAAUGGUUGUUCGGGGCCUUAUUAUUGUUUGGUUUUUUGCAGUUUGGAAAAUGAGAGGAUUGGCAGGCAUGGAUUCUUGGUAAGUGUGGAUUCUUUCUAGGGAACUUGACCACACCUACUUGACUGGAGGUAACUGGUUAAUGUUAAUGAGUAGCUCAGUUAUUUACAUCUCCCCAGUAUUAUGGAACACCCCAAGUCUCCUCAAAAGCCAGAGCUAACACUGGAGUUGAUAAUCUUCAACUUGGACACCCUUUGUGUCUGUGCGUCUGCCUCUGUGUCAGGCACAGCCCAGUGCCCUGACCAAGUCCUGAAAUAUUCCAGCAUCUUCCACUGUUUCAGUUCCCUCUCUUCUGGAAGUUGUAGAUACUUUGUGCUCCUCUUAUCUUUCAAGAAUACAUUGUAGGAAAUAAUUAAGUUUACUUAAUUAGCUAUUUGUUGAUUUGAGUUUAUUUGUUGCAGUCACUGGUGCUUCUGCAGCACACAUUCCACCAUCUCUUUGAUUUUCUCCUAAUUAAUGGAAGAGUACGAUCACCCACUUCCAACUAGUUUUUAAGUACCCUUGAUAAUUUUUGUUGUUGUUGUUUGGGAAUUGAUUUCAAGUUGAGACAUGUCUCAACUAAUUGCAAGACAUAAUACCACAAAACUGUAUGAAUUAACAAAUACUAUUAUGUACUUAAUAUCUAUCCUAGAUACCAGUGUUUGUACCCACACACAGAGAAUGCUGCUACAGGCUGAAAUUACAAGACAGAAACAAUGUUGUUUAUCCAAAGUCUGUAUUUCUCUAUUAAAUUUCAAAUCACCAUGGGACAUAUAUCCCAUUCAAAAUAUAAAUCUGUUCAGCAUCUACAUCAAAAAGAGAACUUUCUAGAUGACCCUUUUGCCAGCAGAAGUUGUGGUUCUAGCUGAUAUUACUCAAUCAACAUGGUAUGAGAUUUCUCCAAAUGUGUUGACUGCCGUGUCCAUCUUAAAGGGAAAAACAGCCAAAAAAAAAACAAACCCCAAACCGCCACCAAACCCCCAAAAAACCCCGCAAGCCAAAACCAACCAAACAAAAAAAUCCCCCAAAACAACAACAACAAUGAAAAAAACCACGUCCUUUUAAUUUCUCCUGUUUGUCACUAAAAUGAUGCAUUAUAAAUUAGCCAAGUCUUGCAAACUAGCACAAUUUCGCAUUCUGGGCACACCAUUAAUUUUCACAGGAAAAUAUGUGUUUAGCAUCACUAGGUCUGCUCAAACAUUGAAUGCAGUUAUUUUUCAAUAUUUUCCAUACAUGAAAUUUAGCUGCCUUGUUGUAUCAAAAAAUCCAGCUGUACUGGCAAACAAACAAAUUUUUUAAGAAAGCUGGAAGAGGAAAAGGGGAAGGAAGAAACCCAUGUGUGACCUCUGGUGGUUUUAAGACUUACUCAGGAUAUUAUACCUUCAUCAAUGAUUAAAUGACUCUCCCUUUUCAAAUGUAUUGAGCCCUCAUUUUUAUGUGGAUGCAUAUUCCUACACCAGAAAUUCAACCUCUCACUGAGAAAAAGGGUGAUCAUAAGCACGGGAAAACAACUCAGAUAAGUAAAACCAAUGCAGAUGUAAACCUUUUGCUAACUCCUUGAAAGAGAUUGACAAUCUGAAGAAGUGUAAACACAUGGGGCCUACAUUUCCCAAAAUCAGAAAUGAUGGCAGAUGCUAAACUGGCACUGACACAUGAGGUAACCAUCACUCUGGGAGGACAGGUACUCUCUGAAAACUGGGCACUUUUAAUAAGAUUGAAAAGAAAACGCUUAAACACUGGGGUGUCCAAAAAUUUAAUUUGGUUUGCAAAUACAGAUUAUGAGUUUUUUUCAAGUUUCUCAUUUUUUCUUCUUUGUGUGUGUCUUUUCCUUGUUCUUUCUGAAAACAGAGAAAGGGGUAGAAAGCACUAUAUAACUAGAAUAAUAUGUGUACAUACACAUAUUUGUUGUAUACAUCUGUAUCAGUCAGCAGGUUAAUAUUUAGAUACCAUUUUGAUUGCAUAUUUUCUUUUUGUUUGGUUAAGGAUCUUCAGGAGCUUUUCACAAUAUAUGGGCUGACAUGGAAAGCAAAGCUGGAUUUUAUCAGAUAUAUCUCAAUGCUUCUUAAUACCAGUGCUUUCAUCAGUUUUUUCUCUAUGCCUUGUUCUUUGUAGGCAGCACUUAUCACUUCACAGUCCUUCAGAGAGAGUGCUGACUGGCUGAGAAGUUGUCCUGGAGAGCAGGGACAUGGGUAUUUUCCAUUCCAGAUACAUAGGCCAAAAUACCACACAUACAUGACCAA